rnacentral:lncRNA from 1 species
AAAAACGCACUGCCAAUUCGCCGAAAGUGUGGUGUUCCGGUGGUCACCAGGAAGUCUCCAGCUUUUUCUCAAGUGGGGUGACCCAUCUUCAAGUGAAAUCCUUGCAAAUUGCGAAAAAGAAAAAUCAAUCUAAAAUCUACUUUUAUCCUAGUUGUGAGAAAAAA